GACAGAGGAUGCAAGCGUUAUCCGGAAUGAUUGGGCGUAAAGCGUCUGUAGGUGGCUUUUUAAGUCCGCCGUCAAAUCCCAGGGCUCAACCCUGGACAGGCGGUGGAAACUACCAAGCUGGAGUACGGUAGGGGCAGAGGGAAUUUCCGGUGGAGCGGUGAAAUGCGUAGAUAUUGGGAGGAACACCAGUGGCGAAAGCGGCCGUCUGGGACAUUCCUGACACUGAGGUUCGAAAGCUCGGGGAGCAAACAGG
rnacentral:rRNA from 1 species